AGCUGAGGCCGAAAGGCGUAGGUGAUGGACAACAGGUUGAUAUUCCUGUACUACCGAUAACCGUUUGAGAGAUGGGAUGACACAGUAGGAUAAGUUAAGCACACUGUUGGUUAUGUGUGCCCAAGCAGUGAGGCAGUCAGAGUAGGUAAAUCCGCUUUGAUAAUGCUGGGAUGUGAUGGGGAGCGAAAUUUAGUAGCGAAGUAGCUGAUUUCACACUGUCAA
rnacentral:rRNA from 1 species